rnacentral:rRNA from 1 species
UUCGCCUGUUUACAAAAACAUGUCUGUAUGAUGGGUGUAUAGAGUCUGGCCUGCCCACUGAUUAUAAGAGAUUAAAGGGCCGCGGUAUACUGACCGUGCGAAGGUAGCAUAAUCAUUAGUCUUUUAAUUGAAGGCUGGAAUGAAUGGUUUUACAAGAAGUUUACUGUCUUUAUAUUAAAAUUUGAAUUUAACUUUUAAGUGAAAAGGCUUAAAUAAAUUAAAGGGACGAUAAGACCCUAUAAAACUUUACAUGGGGAAGCAUUUUGGUGAAUUAUUUAUGUUUAAGUUUAAAGAAACUUUGAGUAUGUUUUGUUGGGGCGACAAGAAUAAAAUAGGAAUUGUAACUGUUAUAAAAAUAAACAAAUAAUUUUUGAAGAAGUUAAUAAUGGUCCUUAAAAAAGAGUAGAAGAAUAAGUUACUUUAGGGAUAACAGCGUUAUUUUUUUGGAGAGUUCUUAUCAAUAAAAAAGAUUGCGACCUCGAUGUUGAAUUAAAAUUUCUUUAUAAUGUAGCAGUUGUAGGAGAAAGUCUGUUCGACUUUUAAAAUUUUACAUGAUUUGAGUUCAAACCGGUGUGAGCCAGGUUGUUUUCUAACUA